UACGAAGGGUGCAAGCGUUACUCGGAAUUACUGGGCGUAAAGCGUGCGUAGGUGGGUUGUUAAGUCUGUUGUGAAAGCCCCGGGCUCAACCUGGGAAUGGCAAUGGAUACUGGCAAGCUAGAGUGCGGUAGAGGGUAGUGGAAUUCCCGGUGUAGCGGUGAAAUGCGUAGAGAUCGGGAGGAACACCAGUGGCGAAGGCGGCUACCUGGACCAGCACUGACACUGAGGCACGAAAGCGUGGGGAGCAAACAGG
rnacentral:rRNA from 1 species